AGCACAUUGGCUUCCUGAUCCUGCUGAGCAUUGCCCAUGGCGUCUGGAGAAGUCUAAGACAACUAUGGGGACAGGAAACGGGAUCAACAGCCUCAGCCUCCAGAAGAGCAGAGCACCAGGGAAAUGAAGACAUCAUUGUUUCUGACCUGCUCCGCCACAUGGAGGCUGACAUAGACUCAAUGGAGAGGCACCUGAAGACCCUCUUCCAGUCCCACAGGGAAGCAUGCAGGAGCAUGCAGGAGAGGCAGGCAGCAUACGAUACGGGGAACAGGAAUAAUCCCUCUGCAAACUCCACAUCCAGCACUGUCCACGGCGCUCAUUCUACGGAUAAAUAAUCUCUUUCUAAAUAAACAUACAGUUCAUAUCUCAUCACAGUCAUACACUUAUGAACCAAGUGGUUUUAGUUGGGGCUCAGUUUUGUGAGCAGGAAUAAUUCAGAGGCUACAUACCAUCCUCCGUUCACAAACACCAACUCUGGAAUACCACUGAAGGCUCAGAGCAUACAUAACGUCUCAUCUCUGAAUGUGCAUACAUACAACGUCAAGAAUUGGGCCACCGCCGUCUUAGGAAGGUGGGUCAAAUCUUUCACCCGCCCCUGAAUCGGCAGGGUGGUCUUAACUAUGAUUUCAGCUUUUUGGCUGAUCGGCUCUACCUCCUGUCAAUGUGGAAGUAGGCAGCCAAUAACUGUUCUUCAAUCAUACUGUAUCUUUCUUCUGCUCCGUCCCAGACCCGAGAUCAGAAUCCAAAGGGGGUCCAAACAGAACUCUGGCGUUGCCACAGGCCCCAGCCAAAGCCAACCUGAGUGACAACAACGCCCAGCUCUGCUGGGAGGGUAGGAUCAAAUUUAUCCAAUGCCUGGGCGUGUUCAACUGCCAGCUUUUCCUGGUGGAAAGCGUCCCGUUCCGUUCCCUCCCAGUCCAUCAUCUUAGUAGCCAAGCUGGCACACUUUCUCUCUUUUAUCGGAACCGUUGUACUAGGUCCAUUAAUUCCGCUGCCGUAUAUGGACGGGCUGCCAUAUGAAAGCGAGUUCUGGGCAGGGGGCCACUGAUCAGGGGGCACCCCUGCUGGUCUAUCUUGUAUUUUUUUGGUUUUUGAAUUAUUAUAGGACAGAUCUCCAAGGCAUCUGUUGCAAGCGGAGCAUUGAGAUCCAAUUGAGAGUUUUUAUUGUCUGGAUCAGCCAGGUCCAUUGAUUCAGGAACCUGUUUAUUAUCUGCUGAAAUGUUACAGACCUGCCCUAUCAGCAAAUUCAGGGUUGUUUUUUCCCUGUCAGUAUACCGAGUUCUUGCUCUAAUUUUUCUAGGCGGUCUCACAAUACUUCAUUUUCGUUUUCUAAGGUAUUGGCCCUCAUCUUGGCCUGAUUUAAAGCAUUCCACAGUGGCCAUACCACUGUAGAGGCAGCUAACUGCUGUUCUUUUGUAACCAAUCUAUCUUUGCUUUGUCCAUGAAAACAGUCCGCCAUGCGGAAUGGAGAAAUAUUUCCCAUAACACGCAGGGAACCCCAUUUUUGAAUUAUGGUUGCCAGCUCAUAAUAAGGGGAUCCCAGAAAUCCUGGGAUCUCUCCAGGAAUUCUUAAGUCUAGAGGGGUAAUGUUCUGACUACCGCCAUAUCUGCAGUAAUCGGGACAAAAAGCCAGUCCUUCCUCAGCAGCAGCAUCCAGUUGAGACCAGGACCUCCAGCAGGCCCUGCUGGUUUGGCUUAACCACCUGUCCCAUCAGGAGUGGGAAUGGCAACAAAAUGCUGGUGCUUCCUGUGUUACAGCUGCUCAUUGAUUCCCAGUGCCAUGGCUUCAACUGGCCCUGCUGGCUAUAUCUAUCCACCUGCCAUGUAACAAUGUGGAUGGGGACCAAAAAAGGGCAUCCCACGAGCAGCAUCUGCCCACUGAUACCCAGCGAUAUGCCUUCAAUUGGCCCUGCUGGCUUGGUCUAUCCACCUGCCAUGUAACAAUGAGGAUGG